UCCUUUCCUUUCUUUCCUUUUCCUUUCUUUUCUUUAAUUUUGCUUUUCCUUUCUUUCCUUUUUUCUCUUUUCUUUCUUUUCUUUCUUUCAUUUUCCUUUCUUUUAUUCCAUUUCCCUUUUCCUUUCUUUUCUUUCCUUUUCCUAUCCCUUUCUUUCCCUUUUCCUUUUCUUCCUUUUCUUUCUUUUACCUUUUCCUUGCCCCUUUCCUCCCUCCCACCCCCGCAGAGGCCAUGGCGGAGCGCAGCGCCCGGCGGAGCCCGCAGGGUUAUGGGGAGACUGCAGAACGAAGAGGACCGGGCAGAUAAUGCAAUGCAGUUGGUUGGAACUAUUAAAAAUAUUUGUCAUAUUUAAUGGGGUUUCUCUUGAUUGAGUGUGAGAAGGACCUGCAGGGACAGAGAAGAUAUCUGCAUACAGAAAUUCAAAUGAUCUUCAGCAAUGCCGUGGUCACAGUGAUGCUGCAAGACCAUGACAUGCAAAUGUGGUGGAAUUUGCUGCAUUGCUUUUUUUUCACUUUUCUAUUUCCAAGCUUAAGAUUAGCAUUAGGUUUUCACUAACUGGCUCCAUGCGAAUGAAACGCAUUUAGAAAACACUUUGAGAAAAGAAUUUAAAGGCUAUCACCUGUAAAUUACAAGGUCAGAAUAUUCAUCAUCGUCCUUUGAAAUGCUCUCUGUGUUGGUAUUGCAGGUUAUGUCUGAAAUUUUGCCAGGUUUGAAGUCUGUAUGUUUUAGAAUUACAAAAUAAAGCAAACAAAACUCCCCCAACUGAUCUCUUAACCUGA